GAGCGUAUAGCUCAGUGGUAGAGUGCAUGCUUAGCAUGCAUGAGGUCCUGGGUUCAAUCCCUGGUACCUCCA
rnacentral:tRNA from 1 species